UGGGGAAUAUUGCACAAUGGGCGAAAGCCUGAUGCAGCAACGCCGCGUGAGGGACGACGGCCUUCGGGUUGUAAACCUCUUUUAGCAAGGAAGAAGCGAAAGUGACGGUACUUGCAGAAAAAGCGCCGGCUAACUACGUGCCAGCAGCCGCGGUAAUACGUAGGGCGCAAGCGUUAUCCGGAAUUAUUGGGCGUAAAGAGCUCGUAAAGGCGGUUUGUCGCGUCUGCUGUGAAAACCCGAGGCUCAACCUCGGGCCUGCAGUGGGUACGGGCAGACUAGAGUGCGGUAGGGGAGAUUGGAACUCCUGGUGUAGCGGUGGAAUGCGCAGAUAUCAGGAAGAACACCGAUGGCGAAGGCAGAUCUCUGGGCCGUAACUGACGCUGAGGAGCGAAAGGGUGGGGAGCAAACAGGCUUAGAUACCCUGGUAGUCCACCCCGUAAACGUUGGGAACUAGUUGUGGGUCCAUUCCACGGAUUCCGUGACGCAGCUAACGCAUUAAGUUCCCCGCCUGGGGAGUACGGCCGCAAGGCUAAAACUCAAAGGAAUUGACGGGGUCAUAGCUGUUUCCU
rnacentral:rRNA from 1 species